rnacentral:rRNA from 1 species
GAUGAACGCUGGCGGCGUGCCUAAUACAUGCAAGUCGAGCGAACGGAUAAGGAGCUUGCUCCUUUGACGUUAGCGGCGGACGGGUGAGUAACACGUGGGUAACCUACCUAUAAGACUGGGAUAACUUCGGGAAACCGGAGCUAAUACCGGAUAACAUUUGGAACCGCAUGGUUCUAAAGUGAAAGAUGGUUUUGCUAUCACUUAUAGAUGGACCCGCGCCGUAUUAGCUAGUUGGUAAGGUAACGGCUUACCAAGGCAACGAUACGUAGCCGACCUGAGAGGGUGAUCGGCCACACUGGAACUGAGACACGGUCCAGACUCCUACGGGAGGCAGCAGUAGGGAAUCUUCCGCAAUGGGCGAAAGCCUGACGGAGCAACGCCGCGUGAGUGAUGAAGGGUUUCGGCUCGUAAAACUCUGUUAUUAGGGAAGAACAAAUGUGUAAGUAACUGUGCACGUCUUGACGGUACCUAAUCAGAAAGCCACGGCUAACUACGUG